CAUGUAAAAACGAGAACUUCCCGGAAUAUCAGACCGUAUCCGGAUUCGUGUUUCUUUUAGAGUAAUUGUAACAUUUCCGCAAUUUUGGAAAUUUGAAAGACGCCGAAGGUCGAUUAAUAUUUACUUUAUAGAUGCAAGACGAGUGACAGCAAGUUUGAGGAAUGAAGAGCAAAAGGAUAUAGCAGUCUUUAUAUAAAAUAGUUCAGGAAUCCAGUUGGAAAGAAGAGCUUUUCAGUUAAAAGUAUUUCCUGGGAAUUAACAGGAACUUCUAUAAAUGUUUUUCUGGAAUAGUUAUUCCAGAGGGCAGUGAAGUGAAGGAUUACAUUAGAAAAAUAUUGCUGAAGUGGUAAAAUCAGACCCAAGAGAUGUACAAAAUUUCUACAAUACAUGUUACAACUGACUUUAGCUACUUAAUCACAUUGACAUUUGUGUGCUUUUAUGUUUUCUUUACAUAAUUACUACAGUUCUAUUAAAAUUAAUAUUUUUAUUCUUUGUCACAAUUAUUACUAAAAAAAAUACAGCAUUUUAAUAUGG